UGUUUCUUUUUCAGUUAAAGUUUUAUUAAAAUUUUUGUUUCUUUUUCAGUUAAAGUUUUAUUAAAAUUUUAAUAAGUUAUUUAAAAUAAAUAUCUUUCAGCGUUUUUCAAGUGUUUUUACUAGUUGUUAUACAAGUGGACCGGAGAUUGAUGUAUUUGAAAGGCCUAAGGGUAAUUGAAAACUGAUUCUUAAAAAGAAGAUAAAUUAUGAUAACUUGAAGAAGUUUGACUCAGGGGAAAAAAAGUGCCCCAAGAAGACCUCGCUGAGCACCGCGGAAGAGCAUUUAAAUAGCAAGUUCAUACCUCCUUUUUUAACUAUCAUGCCUUCUUCCUUACCAAAGGAUCAUAUACUUUUACUUUUUAGAAAUAUUUUAUCUUUUUGAGUUUACUUUAAUACUGUGUAUUUUUAUUUAUCUUUUAAAAAAAAUUAUUUGUACAGACUUACAAAAAAUCUUCUUUAUCAAAUAAAUAAAACGGUGACUUUGUAAAUAGAUGUGUUAACAGGAUUUAUUUUCUAAUAAAA